rnacentral:lncRNA from 1 species
GCUUCCUAUAAUGGAAGGUAACACUGAACUCUAGUUUAGGGUUUAUAAUGAUUCUGUUGUCACUACACUUUUAUAGAAAGUCUAUCAAGUGACAUCUAUAUCCUCUGCAUUAGUAGAUCAAUGCUGUACUUUGUUGAUCCAUCCUAUUUGGUACUUGAUAGGGGAAUGAUGGGAUUUGAAACGUGCCUGCAACGUAGCUGUUGUGGGGUUGCCAGAUCUGACUUAUCUUUGUGAAGAAAUUAAUCUGUGAAGAGGGUUAAAGAGUAGUGUUAUGAAAUGAAGUUCUAACUGCUCUUGUUUAGAAUUAUAAAGCUCCAGCACAUGUACCUGAGCCACAGCAAAAUGGGAUAGAGAAAGAAACAGUCUUGUUCUGUCUCAGAUGCUUAUAAGCAUUCCAGACUUUAUAUAUAAAACAGCACUUUGCAAUUCACCUGGAAACUCACUGAUAUAGAUCCAAGAUGAGAAACACAAUGUACUCGCAGCAGAAAACACUGCUAGGUCUUGAAACAAACUUCUGCAGAAGAGAUUGAGCCUGAAUCCUCAAAUGUGCUGCGUGCUCGUUUAUGCUAGCCUUUCACCAACCAAUGAUGGAAGGAAAACAACACUGGAAGAAGUUGUCCAUUCAGUUGGCUAUCGGAGUAGCCACAUGCAGAUGCUGGGCCACUGUGGCAUAGACUGGAGAAUGAGGAAAGAAUCUGAUGCACCUAUUGGUGCUCUGUUGUUCAGAGUGUGUGGCGGAAGCAGUAGAAUAAGAAGUUUCACACAUUCUUAUGGAGAAAAGACAAGAAGCUACCUUUCAAGAACAAGAGCUUCAGGAUCUGGUCUCAAGUCACCAUUUAACAAGAAAUAAAACAGCAACAACAUCUAACAAUGAAACAUAAAUGCUCAUCUGACUGCACGUGAUUUGAUUUGAUGCUAAAAGGAUACUAUGUUGGCUCAGUGAUGGCUUGGUGCAAAUUUCCUCCCUAAAAUCUGAGGUUGAAUUUAGCUUCAGUUCUUCCCAUUUCCCUUGUUUUUUCAGGGUUUUCAACUAUUUUAUGGUGGAUAGCAGGAAGAAAAGUUGCUUUUUUCAACUCAGAAGAUGUGAUUAAAAGAGAAUCUACCUUUAGAGCUGCAACAAAAUUAAGUUUUUUCUUUUUUUCUCUUUUUCUUCCCUGUGUAGCCAAUAAAGAGUUUUUC